AGAAAAGAAAAGAAAAGAAAAGAAAAGAAAAGAAAAGAAAAGAAAAGAAAAGAAAAGAAAAGAAAAGAAAAGAAAAGAAAAGAAAAGAAAAGAAAAGAAAAGAAAAGAAAAGAAAAGAAAAGAAAAAGAAAGGAGGCCUCCCCAGAGGUCAGCAAGUCAUGAAAAUAUUAAGCACUCCAAGAUCCAGAGCAGAGUGAGAUUGGAUAUACCCUGCCACUUACCAUGGACCAUUGCUACUGUCUGGAAUGUUGUCCAU
ensembl:lncRNA